rnacentral:rRNA from 1 species
UCUGUAGCAAGGUUAACCGUAUAGGGGAGCCGUAGGGAAACCGAGUCUUAACCGGGCGUUAAGUUGCAGGGUAUAGACCCGAAACCCGGUGAUCUAGCCAUGGGCAGGUUGAAGGUUGGGUAACACUAACUGGAGGACCGAACCGACUAAUGUUGAAAAAUUAGCGGAUGACCUGUGGCUGGGGGUGAAAGGCCAAUCAAACCGGGAGAUAGCUGGUUCUCCCCGAAAGCUAUUUAGGUAGCGCCUCGUGAAUUCAUCUCCGGGGGUAGAGCACUGUUUCGGCUAGGGGGCCAUCCCGGCUUACCAACCCGAUGCAAACUGCGAAUACCGGAGAAUGUUAUCACGGGAGACACACGGCGGGUGCUAACGUCCGUCGUGAAGAGGGAAACAACCCAGACCGCCAGCUAAGGUCCCAAAGUCAUGGUUAAGUGGGAAACGAUGUGGGAAGGCCCAGACAGCCAGGAUGUUGGCUUAGAAGCAGCCAUCAUUUAAAGAAAGCGUAAUAGCUCACUGGUCGAGUCGGCCUGCGCGGAAGAUGUAACGGGGCUAAACCAUGCACCGAAGCUGCGGCAGCGACGCUUAUGCGUUGUUGGGUAGGGGAGCG